rnacentral:snRNA from 1 species
GCAUUCUGGUUUCUCUUCAGAGUCUACAAAUCUUUUGUCUUUUACUAAAGACUUCCAUGGAAAGGAAAAAUUAUAAGUUUGGAUACUCACCUGAGUUGAUAUUAAAAAAUAACA